AUUUUUAUUGUUUUUAAAUUGAAAAUGUUUAUGACGUCUGAAACAUUGUGGUGGCGUCACUGCUGCUAUAGCCUCUCAAAGAAGACCUUGAAUAACCAAAGUGCUAGGAUAGUUACAUUUCAAUGAUUUCACUCUGUUAGUAAGAAUUUUACAUCGAAAGAUUUGCUCAGGUGAAAACACAUAUCAAAUUAAAUCAACAGAAUUGAUAGUUUAACCAUAUCAAAUGACCCUCUACCCUGAUUGACAUAGGAUAGGAGAUAUGAUACAACAUCCUAAAUGACUUCAAAAAAAUGAAGUCCUUUACACGGUUUUCAUGUCCACAGCAUAAACAUCAUUAGUACACUUAGUCAGAGCCUUCACACCAGAAUAACACCAUACUUUAACUAAAUGGGCUUUUAGUCAAACCAAUACAAAGACCUAAUGUAAAGUAAUUGCCAAUGAGCUAUCAAAACAAUGCAAGUUAGACACUGCAUACAGAUUCUCAAGCCUAAAAAGAUCACACAAGUUCAGAGUUCAGCACAAUUUAUUUUAUGCUUAAAUAAUUGUUUUGACCAUCCAGUGUUUUGUCAUACAUUAUGCUAUUAAGAGCUACAAUCAAAUUAUGUCUUAUGUGUCUUUAUGUGAGUAGAAUAAACUUAAGGAAAUACUUCACAAAAACCAAAAUGAAAUGCCUCUGCCUCUUCUUUAAAACCACAGCAGCCUUUAUAAAAACCAAAUGACACACUGCUAAAAUGAUUACAAACAGUCUUACAGCGUACAGAGACCUCUUAUAGCCAAUACACAAAACAGUUAGUUUUACUGCAAGCCAGUCUACUAGCAUAUACAUUCAGAUUACUUCUUUCUCAUAGCCUUUAUGCUAAUGCCUGCAGAAGCUGUCCUUCAGUUUUACAUAGACAAACGGUAAAACAUUAAACCCUCAAAAAGCUAUAGAAUUAAUUGCCUUCAUACUAUUCCUCAUCCCUCAACACAACAAAUGCUUUAGUUUUUUAUUUCAUUUCAAAUAUAAAAAAGGUAACAAUGUCAAUGUUUGGGCUGUAUGUAUACACAGAUAAAGGGUUUAAAUGGUAAGUUAAAUACAGUGUUCGCAAACUUGUAAAAAUUUUACUUAAAAUAAUGUGAAUGGCAUGCAUGAAACUAUGAGUACUCUGAAAGACUGAUUUUGCAGAAUUAGAUAAAUCCCCAUUUUGGGAAUCACUGCAAUUCGCAGAAGAUUUUCUGGAAAUUUGCUCUGUUAAAAUUGAUCCAGCUUUUUUCAUAUACAAACAUUAUACUUGCUAUAAUAAUUAAUUAUACAAGAAGUUACACUCAAAUCUUCCUUAAAAAUGGAACUAUUUUGAUAAUAAUGUUGAAAGCACUUGUAAAGUCCUCUACUGUUCAUUAUCAUCCUGUAACUCAUCAUUUCAGAAUUGUACACAUUGUAAUUUAUAUACAGAAAAUGCCUUGUAGUAUUUUUGUUUUUAAAAAGAACCCCAACCCCCCAAUAAUUUACAAACUGACAUUUAUGGGUCCAAGAAAAAAGCUAUAAGGCGAGUGUUGGAGUGGAUCAGAAAUGUUCCUCUUGUGUAAUUGUAUUGAGUUUUUCUCUUCUACAACUAGAAUUGAGCUUGUGUGCCAUCUUUGGUCACAGGGAAGUGUGUGUUCUGUUGCACUUGUCGUUUUUCUGUAAUGGAGUCAUUUUUCAUUGUAACGUUAUUGCACCUCAAAAGCUUUCAUGACACCAAUGGCACGUUACAAGUCACAAACAGGAAGCAGAAUUCUACUGGUCCAUAGAUCACAGGAAGUGAGAAUUUGAAUUCAGAUUCCAUGUUGAGAACCUUCCAGGUCCCUCAACUGACAGUUUGAGUUUUUCAUGCUCAUGCUAAAAUCAGAUGGGUCACGGCCUUAGGCAGGAGAGUCUGACUUCCCUUGGGUUUUCUAGAUGUCUGUAACCUUCUGCCCUGGAAACAGAUGAGAACAAUGUCUGCACCCCUGAAAAAUAAGAUAAUAUGAAUGAAAUCCACAGACAUUUCAUGCAUUUUGGGCAGCUGUUGACUUUAAAAGUAGGGAGCAAUAAUAGUACAUCCCCAGUUUUACGAAUUCAGUUAACAGCUGCUACAUUGCAGGAUCUGCAUUUUAUAACUUGCAUUUUGCAAGCCGCUCUCAAAUCUACCAGAGCAAUCUCAAUGACACUAAAGAACAUCAAGAGGUAUUUUGGGCCAUGGGUUGUUAUGGUCACUCUGGUUGUCAUAGAAACGACUAACCCAAGUUAUUGACAGAGCAGCUACUCUUUUUAUUCAGGUGGGUUUAAACAGAAUAAUUCACUGAUCCACUAUUAUGCCGAUAGGUUUGCUAAACAGAGUGCUUAACAAAAAUUGAGCUCUUUGGCCAUGCACACCAGUGGUGGGUUUGGCGUCAGAACAAGGAUGAGUAUGGGAAAAUACAACCCCAUAGAUGCUGUAAAAUGUGUUGGUUGAACAUUGAUGUUUUUAUGUGGUUUUGCUUCCACUGGCACUUGUAACUUGUUAGCUGCAUCAUGAACUCUACCAAGUACCAGGACAUUUAAGGCAAAAAUCUAGUCAAUAACAUAUUCAAGCAAGAAAAUUACCCCCAACCACACAGAGAAAUUGUCUAAUAUCUUUAACGAUAAUUUUGGGGAAAUCCAUUCGUAAUUCGAGAAAUACCUUGAAUCAAGUACAAUAUUUUUUCACAUGUUGGAAGAUUACAUUAUAUUUAAUUCCCUGUGUUUACAAAACCUUUUAAGCUCAUCUUUAUCAACGGUGCCAAUCAUUUAGGAGGUGACUGCAUGUGUGUGUUUAUGUCAUGUAUGAACAUGUGUGUGUAAGAAUGUGUGUGUGUGUCUGGGUAGGGUCUAUUGACAUAGUCAAAGGUGGUAAACACUAAAGGGAUAGUCCAAAAAGGUAGACAAAUGCAGAUAGCAAUUUGAUAAUCUUUUAACUUUGUUGCUUAGCAGUCUUCUAGCUUUGGGGUAAAAGCUGUGUAGGAUCCUGUUGGUUACGGACUUGAGGCACUGCUACAGCAUGUCAUGUGGUAGUAAAGAGAAGAGUUUAUGGCCUGGGUGACUGGGGUCAUUGAUUAUGUUUAGGGCCUUCCUCUAACACUGCCUGGUGUAGUUAUUAUUGAGUUUGGCCCCAACAAUGAACUUGACUGUUCGCACCACACUCUGAAGUGCCUUGCGAUUCGGGUGUAUUGCAGUGGCCAGACCAAGAUACUUUUUGGCCUACCCUCACCAACUGGGGGAGGUCGUCAGGAAGUCCAGGACCCAGGUGCAGAGGGAGAGAUUCAGUCCUGACCGUAGUGUUCAGCUUGAAGCCCACAAUGGUGUUAAACGCUGAGCUGUAGCUGAUUGACUGCGUUUUCACAUAGGAGGAAGAGGCCAGUGUGGGUAUGCUAAUAGAAGUGAGUCCAGUGUGUCCAGGAUGAUGUUAUUUACAAAAGCCGAGACCGGAUAAAAGACUUUCAUGGCUCCUGUUGUGGAAAUUACCACAGAAUGAUAGCAAUCGAGAUACCAAGGAGUUAACACUGCAAGUAUGCUACUGGACAACAGUGAAUCUGUAAAAAAUCUACUUGCAUUCUAUAAAAUGUACUGUAUAAAAUACACGCUUUACAUCUGCGUUAUGGUGUUCUCAUCAGCUGGCCAAUAUUGAUUGCAAUUGAGAUGGAUAAAGGUGAAUUCAGCACAUAUUGGUUUACUGAAAUAUCAGCUGGCAAUAAUAAAGUUCCCAGUCUUUUUGCUGCAUUAUGGUGUUUUUUGGCAUGAUCCAUUUUUCCUUGGAAACUAGUCACCCACACACACAGCUGACAAAGAGAGACAUGCGGUCAGAAUCAAAACAGGCAAGAGUCAAGCUUUCAGUCUGAAACAUAAUGGUCUGUUUGUGUGCAGUUUGGACUAGAAUACUGUAUGUGAAUCAGGGCAGUCGAUAUGAGUGGAGAUCAGUGCGGACAGGAAGAAUUAUAUUAAAAUGGAGCAGAGCUCCACCAGGUUUAUAUGAAAUCGAACAGAAAUUAUUGAGCACACCACUAAAAAGCUUGGAGUUUAGACAAUAUUGAAAACAUUAGAAAAGGAAUGGGGUAAAUUACUCUAUUUGGG
ensembl:lncRNA